rnacentral:tRNA from 1 species
UGUGGCAAAGCAGUGGUAAUGUCACUGACUGUCAAUCUGUUGAUGCAGGUUCGAUUCCCGAACCUGCUGUUGCAA